rnacentral:misc_RNA from 1 species
UAUAAGCUGGCAAAGGAUGGCCUUUUGUCCAAGGUGCCAAUUGUACCCAGUCAUGUGCAUUCUAUCAAUGAUUCACUAUCAGCAGAGGAGGCUGCGAACGACUAUGAGUUUGUCAUUCGACAAUUAGUGAGAACACGGACAAUCAGUGUGUCUGAUAUCAGUGACAGUCCCAAGUUUGACCUCAUCCUCCUUGGAAUGGGAGCUGAUGGUCAUGUU